rnacentral:tRNA from 1 species
CAGGGAGACAACAAAAUGUUUAAUAUUAUUAUUUUGUCACCUUAGGUCGAUCGGUAUCUCACAUUCUUAAUUAAUUAAGAAUUUCAUUUCCUAAGUUUUUCUAGGUCACACCCAUUAUUUUUCCUGGGCCAUUAGCUCAGGUGGUUAGAGCGCACCCCUGAUAAGGGUGAAGUCCCUGGUUCAAGUCCAGGAUGGCCCAUAUCUCUAUGUUGGGGGUAUAGCUCAGUUGGUAGAGCGCCUGCUUUGCAAGCAGGAUGUCAGCGGUUCGAGUCCGCUUACCUCCACUGAUCACCACCUCUUCCAUAAUCGGUAGAAAGGAAAUUUUUUGAGUUGUGAUCAAAUUCUGAAAGAAUCUAGCUUCCUAAUGAAAUCAUUAAGAUGCUGGACUCAUUGAAUUAAUUUCAUUGUUUUCAGAGAACCUUGACAACUGCAUAGAUUAUUUUUAAAGACAAUAAGCAUCUUUAAUGAUGCAGAUUUAUUAUUUGUGCAAAUGCAUUAAUAACAAUUCUAUUAAGCUGAUGCUUCAAUAUUUGAAGUUAUU